CAUCAACACUCUUGGUAAUUGCAUUGGUACCAAAACUUAUCUGUGACAAUAUCUUGAACAUUAAUGCCUUUAAGAGAAAUGCCCUUAAAAAUACCUUUAGCAAGCAUUUCCUUAGCAAACACGCUCCUAGCAACAGAGAGUAAGUUUUGUAAGGGCAUGUGAAUACAAAGGCAGAGACUGGAGUGAUGCCAAGAAAUGUGAAAGAUUUCCAGGAACCAUCAGAAGCAAGGAAAAACGCAUGGAAAAGAUUCAGAGUGCUCAGAAGGAAGCAACCCUACCACCACCUGAUUUGGACUUCUAAGCUCCAGAACUAGCCCUGGCUGUGUUCACUGAAUGGAUCUAGUCUCUGAAAAUUCACCGACAUUUUUGGCUUGGCGCUGUGGCUCAUGCCUGUAAUCCCAGCACUUUGGGAGGUUGAGACGGGAAGAUUACGAGGUCAAGAGAUCAAGACUAUCCUGGGCAACAUGAUGAAAUGCUGUCUCUACUAAAAACACAAAAAAUUAGCUGGGUGUGGUGGUGCGAGCCUGUAGUCCCAGCUACUCAGGAGGCUGAAGCAGGAGAAUUGCUUGAACCCAGGAGGCGGCGGUUGCAGUGAGCCAAGGUGGCGCCACCGCUCUCCAGCCUGGCAACAGAACGUGACUCCGUCUCAAAAAAAGAAAAAAAAAAAAUUUCAGGGAUAUUUAUGUAGUGACCUGUUAUUUAAUUUUUCAAUAAUAUAAAUCUGUUUCAAGAAAAAGAAAUUUUAAACAAACUCUUAUGAUUUUCUUUCUCCUGAAAAUUAUUCCAGAACUUAAAAAAAAGGAGAAACAAAACAGAGUAAGUACAUUAGCUUUAUUCAACAUACCAUCUUGUCUAGUAGUAAACUACUAAAAACAGUCUCCUGAGUGGAAAAAAUAUAAAUUUUUGUCUAUAGCAUCAGUGUUGUCCUGCGUGUUUUCAUUAUUUUCUCCAAAUAAAUUGGCUCAAUAUGCUGCUAAGUAUUACCAUUUAUGUUUAUUUUGAAGUUCUAUAUCUUGUCUUUCCUGUUUCAUCUGUAAACAGGCAAUUAUUGCCUCAGUGUGUAUUCUGAUACAUUUUCUCUCUAAAUCUAUUGU
rnacentral:lncRNA from 10 species